AGAGUUUGAUCCUGGCUCAGGAUGAACGCUGGCGGCGUGCUUAACACAUGCAAGUCGAACGGUGAACACGGAGCUUGCUCUGUGGGAUCAGUGGCGAACGGGUGAGUAACACGUGAGCAACCUGCCCCUGACUCUGGGAUAAGCGCUGGAAACGGCGUCUAAUACUGGAUAUGUGACGUGAUCGCAUGGUCUGCGUCUGGAAAGAAUUUCGGUUGGGGAUGGGCUCGCGGCCUAUCAGCUUGGUGGUGAGGUAAUGGCUCACCAAGGCGUCGACGGGUAGCCGGCCUGAGAGGGUGACCGGCCACACUGGGACUGAGACACGGCCCAGACUCCUACGGGAGGCAGCAGUGGGGAAUAUUGCACAAUGGGCGCAAGCCUGAUGCAGCAACGCCGCGUGAGGGACGACGGCCUUCGGGUUGUAAACCUCUUUUAGCAGGGAAGAAGCGAAAGUGACGGUACCUGCAGAAAAAGCGCCGGCUAACUACGUGCCAGCAGCCGCGGUAAUACGUAGGGCGCAAGCGUUAUCCGGAAUUAUUGGGCGUAAAGAGCUCGUAGGCGGUUUGUCGCGUCUGCUGUGAAAUCCGGAGGCUCAACCUCCGGCCUGCAGUGGGUACGGGCAGACUAGAGUGCGGUAGGGGAGAUUGGAAUUCCUGGUGUAGCGGUGGAAUGCGCAGAUAUCGGGAGGAACACCGAUGGCGAA
rnacentral:rRNA from 1 species